GAUGAACGCUGGCGGCGUGCCUAAUACAUGCAAGUCGAGCGAACAGACGAGGAGCUUGCUCCUCUGACGUUAGCGGCGGACGGGUGAGUAACACGUGGAUAACCUACCUAUAAGACUGGGAUAACUUCGGGAAACCGGAGCUAAUACCGGAUAAUAUAUUGAACCGCAUGGUUCAAUAGUGAAAGACGGUUUUGCUGUCACUUAUAGAUGGAUCCGCGCCGCAUUAGCUAGUUGGUAAGGUAACGGCUUACCAAGGCGACGAUGCGUAGCCGACCUGAGAGGGUGAUAGGCCACACUGGAACUGAGACACGGUCCAGACUCCUACGGGAGGCAGCAGUAGGGAAUCUUCCGCAAUGGGCGAAAGCCUGACGGAGCAACGCCGCGUGAGUGAUGAAGGUCUUCGGAUCGUAAAACUCUGUUAUUAGGGAAGAACAAAUGUGUAAGUAACUAAGCACGUCUUGACGGUACCUAAUCAGAAAGCCACGGCUAACUACGUG
rnacentral:rRNA from 1 species